GACGAACGCUGGCGGCGUGCUUAACACAUGCAAGUCGUACGGUAAGGCCCUUUCGGGGGUACACGGGUGGCGAACGGGUGAGUAACACGUGAGUAACCUGCCCACAACUUUGGGAUAACGCUAGGAAACUGGUGCUAAUACUGGAUAUGUGCUCCUGCUGCAUGGUGGGGGUUGGAAAGCUCCGGCGGUUGUGGAUGGACUCGCGGCCUAUCAGCUUGUUGGUGGGGUAGUGGCCUACCAAGGCGGCGACGGGUAGCCGGCCUGAGAGGGUGACCGGCCACAUUGGGACUGAGAUACGGCCCAGACUCCUACGGGAGGCAGCAGUGGGGAAUAUUGCACAAUGGGCGCAAGCCUGAUGCAGCAACGCCGCGUGCGGGAUGACGGCCUUCGGGUUGUAAACCGCUCUCAGCAGGGACGAAGCUUUUUGUGACGGUACCUGCAGAAGAAGCACCGGCUAACUACGUG
rnacentral:rRNA from 1 species